UACAGAGGUCCCAAGCGUUGUUCGGAUUCACUGGGCGUAAAGGUGCGUAGGUGGCCAGGUAAGUUUGGUGUGAAGCUCGGAGCUUAACUCCGAAAAGUCAUUGAAUACUAUCUGGCUGGAGGUCGGAGGGAGACUGGAAUUCUCGGUGUAGCAGUGAAAUGCGUAGAUAUCAGGAGGAACACCGAUGGCGAAGGCAGGUCUCUGGGCUGACACUGACGCUCAUGCA
rnacentral:rRNA from 1 species